UACGUAGGGGGCAAGCGUUGUCCGGAUUUAUUGGGCGUAAAGAGCGUGUAGGCGGUUUGGUAGGUCCGUUGUGAAAACUCGAGGUCUACAACCUCGAGACGCCGGCGGAAACCAUCAGGCUAGAGUCCGGAAGAGGAGAGUGGAAUUCCUGGUGUAGCGGUGAAAUGCGCAGAUAUCAGGAAGAACACCCGUGGCUAAGGCGGCUCUCUAGUACGGUACUGACGCUGAGACGCGAAAGCGUGGGGAGCGAACAGG
rnacentral:rRNA from 1 species